rnacentral:rRNA from 1 species
AAAAGUGCACGUUAUCGUUUAUUUAGAUAGUACCUUACUACAUGGAUAACCGUGGUAAUUCUAGAGCUAAUACAUGCUAAAAAUCCCGACUUCGGAAGGGAUGUAUUUAUUAGAUUAAAAACCAAUGCCCUUCGGGGCUCUCUGGUGAUUCAUAAUAACUUCUCGAAUCGCACGGCCUUGCGCCGGCGAUGGUUCAUUCAAAUUUCUGCCCUAUCAACUUUCGACGGCUGGGUCUUGGCCAGCCGUGGUGACAACGGGUAACGGAGGGUUAGGGCUCGACCCCGGAGAAGGAGCCUGAGAAACGGCUACUACAUCCAAGGAAGGCAGCAGGCGCGCAAAUUACCCAAUCCCGACACGGGGAGGUAGUGACAAUAAAUACUGAUACAGGGCUCUUUCGGGUCUUGUAAUUGGAAUGAGUACAAUUUAAAUCCCUUAACGAGGAACAAUUGGAGGGCAAGUCUGGUGCCAGCAGCCGCGGUAAUUCCAGCUCCAUAGCGUAUAUUAAGUUGUUGAGGUUAAAAAGCUCGUAGUUGAACCUUGGGCCUAGCCGGCCGGUCCGCCUCACCGCGUGCACUGGCUCGGCUGGGUCUUUCCUUCUGGAGAACCGCAUGCCCUUCACUGGGUGUGUCGGGGAACCAGGACUUUUACUCUGAACAAAUUAGAUCGCUUAAAGAAGGCCUAUGCUCGAAUACUUUAGCAUGGAAAUAAUAGAAUAGGACGUGUGGUUCUAUUUUGUUGGUUUCUAGGACCGCCGUAAUGAUUAAUAGGGACAGUCGGGGGCAUCAGUAUUCAAUUUGUCAGAGGUGAAAUUCUUGGAUUUAUUGAAGACUAACUACUGCGAAAGCAUUUGCCAGGAUGUUUUCAUUAUCAGACGAAGUUAGGGAUCGAGACGAUCAGAUCGUCGUAGUCUUACCAUAACUAUGCGAUAGGAUCGACGUGUAAAUUUGGACGGUCGACCUACGAUAAUCAAAUGUGGCUCCUGGGGAGUAUGGUCGCAAGG